UUUCUUUAUAAACCUGAUAUUUGCAUGGUUUUCCACCAUCUUUAUAUUUUGUUUAUAAUCAUUUACGGGUUUUUAAGGGAGUUUAGAUUUUUACUUUAUUUGUUAAGCUACCAUACCUCAUGUUUGAUUCUGGUUCUGGUUAUGAAUGAGUGAGGAACCCCAUAUUUCCUAUGGUUUAAUAUAUUUCAAAGAUAUUUUAAAUUUAUUAUAUGGUUAUGCUAGCCUAGCAGUCUUAUUAAUAAAUUUAUGGAACAGGUUAUAGUUUUAUUUUAUUGCUUUUCAGGGGAUGUUAUCUAGUGUGUACAUCUUUGCUUGUUUACAUGAAUCUUGAAUUUGGGUGGCUUGCCAGCAUUGUUACCACUAAUGACAGUCUGCCGUAGCUCUUUGUGUGGGUGCAGGCAGCUAUUAAUGUUUAAUUCCAGUCUACAUUUAUCUAAGACCUGUGUCAGCUUUUCUCAUUCUUGCCUCAAUAACCAGCCAGUAACUGAUAUAACCACCCGACACCCACUAACAGCGUUCCCAUGCUGCCUCAGUGUUCUCCGCUUUCUUGUCCAUCCGGGACGCUGGGUCGAAAUACCCUUGUCCUUGAUUUUUUUUUUUCAACAAGCUUGCCAUAUAAAAUGUGAUUUCCCGAAGCUGCAAUCGAGAUAAAAAUUUCAAUUUUUACACCUGAUAAAUGUUUUUGUCUUUUUGUAAACGAAAGGUAAGAUUAAACAACAGAAAGAAUGUGGGUUGGGUUAUAGUCAAACGCAUCAACCUUGGACAGCCUGCGAUGAUUCAUUGUCUCCAGAAAGAUUUUUAAGAGGCCGGGGAGUUGUUAAGCGCCUGUGAACUGCAGUAAAAGGCAAGCCAGACCAUGGCCAGAUGUAGCCACAGCCUCGCCCACCUGCUGGAGGGACGCAACGAGCGCGGGAUGAGUGUCCUUGCUGACUGACAGAUACAUUUCCUUCGUCCUCCGGAGUCGACAGGCCCUCCCUCCGUCAGUCGCAGCGCCCCCCAGCUGAAGGGAGUCGCGCACACGGUGAUGGAAGGGGUAGAGGAUGGCGGGGUGUGGGGUAAGGGAGACAAUUAGUCCACGUUCGGAGACAGGUUCUUUCCCUUAGACCGGCCAUACUGUGCAGUUAAAGACUGGAGAUGUCAGCGGCCGCGUCUUUCCCUCACCCCGCCACCGACGUUUGUUAGUUGAUGUCAGUCAAUGAGUGAAUAGCAUUAUUCCCACCAGAUAUACCCACUCAUCUACUAACUAAACAUGAUCGCUUCUUCCUUCUCGUCUCGAUCUUCAGCCAGCUUUAUAUCUCCUCCCUCUCUUUGAAGUCACGCCGUUACUUCUCUACUGUGCGAAGUUUUCUUACUCUAAAGCUCAGAAUGCUGUGUCCUGUAGACUACAGAGCAUUAAAGUGUUCGGCACUGUCCAAGCUGACCUCGCGCCACUCCUCUCGGCUGCUGACCUCGGCAUCACCUCCAUUCCUCAAUUCCUGACCCCGGCAGCUCCAUCACAACACUCGUCUGCAGCAGAGAGAUAGAACAGCCAAGUAUACCUCUGUGCAAAUCACUAAACCUGGACUAGGGCAGGCCAUGUUUCCAAAACAGUCAACCUUGGAUCGUGACCAUGGCAACGGACACACUCUAGUAGCGGCGCAAACGAUGAAUCAAUAAGCGGCGCUUUCAAGCCUUCAAAACCUCUUAUGCUCCGGAGAAGCAGAAAUUGACUGAAACACCGGGGAGCAGGUGAAAACAGUCGAUGCUGCAUUCACUGUACGAAUUUUUCUUUUUAAAUAAAUGCUUCUUCUGGGGACUGAGGU
rnacentral:lncRNA from 1 species